UCCAGCCUGUGCUUCAUGAUGUGUCCGUCUU
rnacentral:piRNA from 1 species